AGGCUGCAACUCGCCUGCAUGAAGCUGGAAUUGCUAGUAAUCGCGGAUCAGCAUGCCGCGGUGAAUACGUUCCCGGGCCUUGUACACACCGCCCGUCACACCAUGGGAGUUUGUAACACCCGAAGUCAGUAUCCUAACCGCAAGGGGGGAGCUGCCGAAGGUGGGAUAAGCGACUGGGGUGAAGUCGUAACAAGGUACC
rnacentral:rRNA from 1 species